rnacentral:lncRNA from 1 species
ACUUAUCCUGGUCUCCCAUGGGGUGCAGGGUCCAAGUACUUGGGCCAUCCUCCACUGCACUCCCUGGCCACAGCAGAGAGCUGGCCUGGAAGAGGGGCAACUGGGACAGAAUCUGGCGCCCCGACUGGGACUAGAACCCGGUGUGCCGGCGCUGCAAGGCGGAGGAUUAGCCUAGUGAGCCGCGGCGCCGGCCACACAUUCAUCUUUAAUCAUUGAUACACACACAGUUCUCCCUCACCAGGUAAAGGGCUUCUGAAGCCCAAGGAUGAGGCUCCCUAGCCAACAGCACAGACUGCAGGUGCACAGUGGGUGUUAUUGAGUGAAUGUGAGAAUGUGCAGGCUGAGAGGCAAGGGGUUGUGGGUCAGGGGGAGCAUGAGCCUGGAGAGAUGAGAAAAGACAGUUUUGUGUUCCCACCACACCCGAGGGGUUACCUGCCACUGACUCUCAGGGACACUGCUAAUGGUAAAUAUUUAGUCCUGUUUCUGUGAUCGCACAUUCUCAAGUCAGAUAGCAACCUUUGUUUCUGCAUGUGCUUGGAGUUCUGCUAUAGAUGACAUCACCCUGGUGACCAACAGGGAACUGAGCCUGGACACAGUGGUCGGUGCCCUUCUCCUGGAUGCUGUCACUGUCACCGGCUUCUGACCGUCCUGGCCUCUACUCCAUUUUGCAGAGGCUAACAGGAGAGAGAGAAAAAAGGUUCCAGCUCGGUUAUAUAACGGCGCUCCGGCAACGCACCCCGGCCCUUGGCAGUGCUGUAAAUUCUUCCUCUCUGAAUUGUUGGUUCGGGACAAUCAUUCAGCAGGGAAUUACUUUCUCAUCUAUGAAAUAAAUGAGAUGUUAAACUAGUUUUCUGCUUCCUGUGGUACAAAUGUAUCCGUGUGCAGCCCCGUGCAGCGAGCAAACAAAUGCCCAGGGCCUGUGGUGACGGCGGCCCGAGCGCGCGAGGGGCUCAGGGCUCUGGGAUCAGGGAGUGAGAUGUGGCCCGCGGGGCAAGGAGACCAGAAUGAAA